UACGUAGGGGGCGAGCGUUGUUCCGGAUUUAUUGGGCGUAAAGAGCGUGUAGGCGGCCAGGUAGGUCUGCUGUGAAAACUCGAGGCUCAACCUCGAGACGUCGGCGGAAACCAUCUGGCUAGAGUCCGGAAGAGGAGAGUGGAAUUCCGUGGAUGUAGCGGUGAAAUGCGCAGAUAUCGAGGAGGAACACCGAUGGCGAAGGCAGGUCGUGCGUGGGCCAUAACUGAC
rnacentral:rRNA from 1 species